rnacentral:rRNA from 1 species
UACGUAUGGGGCGAGCGUUGUCCGGAAUUAUUGGGCGUAAAGGGUACGUAGGCGGUUUUUUAAGUCAGGUGUGAAAGCGUGAGGCUUAACCUCAUUAAGCACUUGAAACUGGAAGACUUGAGUGAAGGAGAGGAAAGUGGAAUUCCUAGUGUAGCGGUGAAAUGCGUAGAGAUUAGGAGGAACACCAGUGGCGAAGGCGACUUUCUGGGCAACAACUGACGCUGAGGCACGAAAGUGUGGGGAGCAAACAGG